UACGUAGGGUGCAAGCGUUAAUCGGAAUUACUGGGCGUAAAGCGUGCGCAGGCGGUUUUGUAAGUCUGACGUGAAAUCCCCCGGGCUCAACCUGGGAAUUGCGUUGGAGACUGCAAGGCUAGAAUCUGGCAGAGGGGGGUAGAAUUCCACGUGUGAGCAGUGAAAUGCGUAGAGAUGUGGAGGAACACCGAUGGCGAAGGCAGCCCCCUGGGUCAAGAUUGACGCUCAUGCACGAAAGCGUGGGGAGCAAACGAGGAU
rnacentral:rRNA from 1 species